rnacentral:rRNA from 1 species
CCUACGGGAGGCAGCAGUGGGGAAUAUUGCACAAUGGGGGAAACCCUGAUGCAGCGACGCCGCGUGAGUGAAGAAGUAUUUCGGUAUGUAAAGCUCUGUCAGCAGGGAAGAAAGCAAUGACGGUACCUGACCAAUAAGCCUCGGCUAACUACGUGCCAGCAGCCGCGGUAUUACGUAGGGGGCAAGCGUUAUCCGGAAUUACUGGGUGUAAAGGGGGCGUAGACGGCUGUGCAAGUCAGGAGUGAAAGGCGGGGGCCCAACCGCAAGACUGCACGGGAUACUGUAUGGCUGGAGUGCAGGAGAGGUAGGCGGAAUUCGUAGUGUAGCGGUGAAAUGCGUAGAUAUUAGGAGGAACACCAGUGGCGAAGGCAGCUUACUGGACUGUAACUGACGUUGAGGCUCGAAAGCGUGGGGAGCAAACAGGAUUAGAUACCAGAGUAGUC